rnacentral:rRNA from 1 species
GAGGUCAAGCAAAUCCCAUAAAGUUGUUCUCAGUUCGGAUUGUAGUCUGCAACUCGACUACAUGAAGCUGGAAUCGCUAGUAAUCGUAGAUCAGCAUGCUACGGUGAAUACGUUCCCGGGUCUUGUACACACCGCCCGUCACACCACGAGAGUUUGUAACACCCGAAGCCGGUGAAGUAACCUUUUAGGAGCUAGCCGUCGAAGGUGGGACAAAUGAUUGGGGUGAAGUCGUAACAAGGUAGCCGUAUCGGAAGGUGCGGCUGGAUCACCUCCUUU